GAAAAGCACUCUGAAGAGAGAGUCAAAAGACCGUGAAACCGCUCAGAGUAUAAGCCCAUGGGGCUUGGAUGGCUUCCGCAGAUACGUGCAUCACUCGUGGUGUAUCGUCAGACUGACAGUAUGGUUCGUCAAGUAGGAGCCUCUAGUGGCCACCGCUGACGUAAGGCUUUUGGUCGUGGGUCCAAGUUGGGCUCACGGCCUCUGGUUAUGGAUGGACGUUCAAAGCUGUCGUUCUAAUGCGGGUUGGCCCACCACGGCACGUUGUGAGGUCACCCACAGGCUCAGACUGCUGAUCGCGUACCCAGGAGGACUUGGCUCUGAAGCGUGUCUGACAAUGCCCUCCGUGCACUUAACGGAGGGCCCUACGCGCGCCUAUUCCUGGGUCGGGCAGCGACCGAGUUAAACCUGGUAUGAUCCUCUCGCGACGAGCUGCUUUCUGGCCAGACCGGCGUCCCGGCCUCAUUCCCUGUGCCGGAGUGGGGUCGACCCCAGGCGGUGUGACCCUCUGUGUGAGUAAAAUCAACAAGGUCUCUCAGCCGGGCGCUGGUCUGAGUGGUGUAAUGUCCAGCACCAUCGGUCACGUCUCGAAACACGGGCCAAGGAGUAUAGCAUGUGUGCAAGUCUAAGGGUCUCACAAAACCCGAUGGCGAAGUGAAAGCAAGUCUGUGGCGGGCGAGCCGUUCGCGGCGGACCCGUCAGCCUCGGCGGCGCGCUAUUUAUAGUGCGCUGCCGGGCUUUCAGCAGAGCUGAUCCUGUUCUCGGUUUGUUCUUGGUGCAGGCGCAAGCUCCGGGCUCACGUACAGUAGCACUGGUCACGCGUCUCGUGCGCGUGGCUGUGUUGUGAGCACCGCAGAGCAUGCAUGCUAUGACCCGAAAGAUAGUGAACUAUGCCUGGCGAGGGCGAAGCCCCAGGAAACUGGGGUGGAGGCCCGUAGCCGUUGUGACGUGCAAAUCCAUGGUAUCAGCUUGGCAUAGGGGCGAAAGACCAAUCGAACUAUCUAGUAGCU
rnacentral:rRNA from 1 species